rnacentral:lncRNA from 1 species
CUGACUUUUAACGUGACUUGGGUGGAGAGUGAAGUACUGUUGUAAAGCCGUAGAUUGGCUUGGGUCGGUAGGGGCCUCAAAGACCAUCUGGUUCCCACCCCCCUGUUGCGGGCAGGGUUGAAAACCGCUGAAUCGGGCACCAACAGUUCAGGCUGCCCAGGGCCCCAUGCAACCUGCUUGGGAACACCUCCAGGUCUUCCUUAGUACCUUUCUCAAAAAUGGGAGUGCCGUAUCCCUUUUCCCGGUCAGCGGGGACUUCCCUUGGCAGCCAUGAGUUUUCAGAUGUGCUGAGGAGUGUGUCGAGAACCACAUCAGUCAGCGCCCUCCGGACACUGUGUCUCAGUGGGAUACACAGUAUCAGGCCACAAGCCCCCCAGAGACGUGUAGGCAUUCAGUCUUAGGAGGCAGUCUCGGUCUUGCUGUGUUCUUACAGCAAGAGGAAUUUUUCUCUCCCAGUUCCCACCUAGAGGUUCAGGGAUGUAAGAGAGACAAGAAUCCUGCCUUC